rnacentral:rRNA from 1 species
AGGGCGUACGGUGGAUGCCUUGGCAUAUGCUGGCGAUGAAGGACGUGCUAAGCUGCGAAAAUCUACGGGGAGCUGCAAAGAAGCGUUGAUCCGUGGGUGUCCGAAUGGGGCAACCCAUCCACGUGAGUGGAUAUUCAUACGUAAGUAUGGAGGCGAACGAGGGGAACUGAAACAUCUAAGUACCCUUAGGAAGAGAAAACAACAGUGAUUGCGUGAGUAGUGGCGAGCGAAAGCGCAGGAGCCCAAACCGUUGUGUUUUACGAUGCGGCGGGGUUGUAGGACGUUACGCGACUUCAGUGAAUUGGAAUCGAAUCUGUCUGGAAAGCGGAACCGAAGGAGGUGAGAGUCCUGUAGGUGAACGAUUGACUGAGGGGUAACGGAUCCUGAGUAGUGCGGGGCUGGUGAAACCCUGCAUGAAUCUGGCGGCACCAUCCGCUAAGGCUAAAUACGGCAUAUGACCGAUAGUGAACAAGUACCGUGAGGGAAAGGUGAAAAGAACGCCGAGACGGCGAGUGAAAUAGUACCUGAAACCGUGCGCUUACAAGCGGUCGGAGGUUGGUCGUAGGAUUGACUGACGGCGUGCCUUUUGUAUAAUGAGCCUACGAGUUGCACCUAUGCUGCGAGGUUAAUCCACGAUGUGGAGGAGCCGGAGCGAAAGCGAGUCUGAACAGGGCGUAUAGUAGUAUGGGGCAGACGCGAAACCGGGUGAUCUAUCCAUGGCCAGGGUGAAGCUGCCGUAAAAGGUGGUGGAGGCCCGAACCGUUUGACGUUGAAAAGUCUUCGGAUGAGCUGUGGAUAGGGGUGAAAGGCCAAUCAAACUCGGAAAUAGCUCGUUCUCCCCGAAAUAUAUUUAGGUAUAGCGUCUGUUGAUAAGCACAAUGGAGGUAGAGCACUGAUUAGGCUAGGGCCCUUCACCGGGUACCACACCUAGACAAACUCCGAAUGCUGUUGUGUGUUGGCAGGCAGUCAGUGGCAGGGUGAUAACGUCCUGUUGCGAGAGGGAAACAACCCAGACCAUCGGUUAAGGUCCCGAAAUACCGGCUAAGUUGAUCAAAGAAAGUUGGAUUGCUUAGACAACCAGGAGGUUGGCUUAGAAGCAGCCAUUCCUUAAAAGAGUGCGUAAUAGCUCACUGGUCGAGCGAUCCGGCGUCGAUAAUUGUCGGGCAUAAGCCGGUUACCGAAACCAUGGAUUUGAAUCGUUAAGGUUCAAGUGGUAGGGGAGCAUACUGACAUUGUGGAAGGAGUUCUGUGAGGGAUUCUGGAGAGGUCAGUAGCGAAAAUGUAGGCAUGAGUAACGAUAAGACAGGUGAGAAUCCUGUCCACCGAAAACCCAAGGGUUCCUGAUCAACGUUCAUCGGAUCAGGGUUAGUCGAGACCUAAGGUGUAGCCGAAGGGCGAAGCCGAUGGAAAACCGGUGAUAUAUUCCGGUACCGAUCUGUACGCUAGGCAAAGGCGUGACGCAGCAGUGACACUUCCGCCUUCUGAUGGAAUAGGAGGUUAAAGGAUGUAGGCUGUGGUGCAGGCAAAUCCGCACCACGUGAGGCUGAACUCUGACAGUACCGGGAGGCUACGGCUGAACGGAUAGUGAAGGUAAACCUACUGCCGAGAAAAGCGUCGUUGUUUGUACAGGUUGCUCGUACCCCAAACCGACACAGGUGGGUGAGGAGAGAAUCCUCAGGUGCUCGAGAGAAUCGUGGCUAAGGAACUAGGCAAAUUCGAUCCGUAACUUCGGGAGAAGGAUCCCCUGCCGCAAGGUGGGGCGCAGUGAAAAGGUUCAAGCGACUGUUUACCAAAAACACAUGUCUCUGCGAAGUCGUAAGACGAAGUAUAGGGACUGACACCUGCCCGGUGCCGGAAGGUUAAAGAAGGGGGUUAGUGCAAUGUUGUGCGAAGCUCUUGACUGAAGCCCCGGUAAACGGCGGCCGUAACUAUAACGGUCCUAAGGUAGCGAAAUUCCUUGUCGGGUAAGUUCCGACCUGCACGAAUGGUGUAACGACUUGAACACUGUCUCGGCCACGAGCUCGGUGAAAUUGUGGUAUCGGUGAUGACGCCGAUUACCCGCAGUGGGACGAAAAGACCCCGUGAACCUUUACUAUAGCUUUACAUUGGCACUAGCUGCUUCAUGUGCAGGAUAGGCGGGAGACUGAGAAGUGGGCGCGCAAGCGUUUGUGGAGUCGUCCUUGAAAUACCGCCCUUGGAUCAGGUGGUGUCUAACCGUGAUGGAAUCACGGGACAGUGUAUGGUGGGUAGUUUGACUGGGGCGGUCGCCUCCUAAAGAGUAACGGAGGCUCCCAAAGGUACCCUCAGCACGGUCGGCAAUCGUGCGUAGAGUGUAAAAGCAGAAGGGUGCUUGACUGUAAGGCAUACAGGCCGAGCAGGCACGAAAGUGGGGUUUAGUGAUCCGGUGGCACCGCAUGGAAGGGCCAUCGCUCAAAGGAUAAAAGGUACUCCGGGGAUAACAGGCUUAUCUCCCCCAAGAGUUCAUAUCGACGGGGAGGUUUGGCACCUCGAUGUCGGCUCAUCGCAUCCUGGGGCUGGAGAAGGUCCCAAGGGUUUGGCUGUUCGCCAAUUAAAGCGGUACGCGAGCUGGGUUCAGAACGUCGUGAGACAGUUCGGUCUCUAUCUACUGUGGGCGUUGGAAUACUGAGGAGAGCUGCUCCUAGUACGAGAGGACCGGAGUGGACGCACCGCUAGUGUACCUGUUGUGACGCCCGUUGCAUCGCAGGGUAGCUAUGUGCGCAUGUGAUAAGCCGCUGAAUGCAUCUAAGCGCGAAGCACACUCCAAGAUAAGUAUUCCCCUAAGAGUCCUGGAAGACGACCAGGUUGAUAGGCUGCAGGUGUACGCAUGGUAACAUGUUUAGCCGAGCAGUACUAAUGACUCUUCAGGCUUUGCU